CCUACGGGUGGCUGCAGUGGGGGAUAUUGCACAAUGGGGGAAACCCUGAUGCAGCGACGCCGCGUGUGGGAAGACGGUCUUCUGGAUUGUAAACCACUGUCCCCAGGGACGAAAAUGACGGUACCGGGGGAGGAAGCUCCGGCUAACUACGUGCCAGCAGCCGCGGUAAUAGGUCGGGAGCAAGCGUUGUCCGGAAUAACGGGGUGUAAAGGGAGCGGAGGCGGGGAUGCAAGUUGGGUGUCAAACCUACCGGCUCAACCGAUAGUCGCACUCCAAACUGCAACUCUUGAGUGAAGUAGGGGCAGGCGGAAUUCCUAGUGUAGCGGUGAAAUGCGUAGAUAUUAGGAGGAACACCAGUGGCGACGGCGGCCUGCUGGGCUUUUCCUGACGCUGAGGCUCGAAAGUGUGGGGAGCAAACAGGAUUAGAUACCCCGGUAGUC
rnacentral:rRNA from 1 species